rnacentral:rRNA from 1 species
AUUGAACGCUGGCGGCAUGCCUUACACAUGCAAGUCGAACGGUAACGGGCCUUCGGGUGCCGACGAGUGGCGAACGGGUGAGUAAUACAUCGGAACGUGCCCGAUCGUGGGGGAUAACGAGGCGAAAGCUUUGCUAAUACCGCAUACGAUCUACGGAUGAAAGCAGGGGACCGCAAGGCCUUGCGCGGACGGAGCGGCCGAUGGCAGAUUAGGUAGUUGGUGGGAUAAAAGCUUACCAAGCCGACGAUCUGUAGCUGGGCUGAGAGGAUGAUCAGCCACACUGUGACUGAGACACGGCCCAGACUCCUACGGGAGGCAGCAGUGGGGAAUUUUGGACAAUGGGCGCAAGCCUGAUCCAGCCAUGCCGCGUGCAGGAUGAAGGCCUUCGGGUUGUAAACUGCUUUUGUACGGAACGAAAAGCCUUCUUUUAAUACAGGAGGGUCAUGACGGUACCGUAAGAAUAAGCACCGGCUAACUACGUG